GAUCCUGGCUCAGGAUGAACGCUAGCGGCAGGCUUAACACAUGCAAGUCGAGGGGCAGCAUAAUGGAUAGCAAUAUCUAUGGUGGCGACCGGCGCACGGGUGCGUAACGCGUAUGCAACCUACCUUUAACAGGGGGAUAACACUGAGAAAUUGGUACUAAUACCCCAUAACAUCAUGAAAGGCAUCUUUUAUGGUUGAAAAUUCAGUGGUUAUAGAUGGGACAUGCGUUGUAUUAG
rnacentral:rRNA from 1 species